rnacentral:lncRNA from 1 species
AACCAUACAAAAAUAUUACUCUGGUGAAUUACUCAUGGUAAUCAAUCACUAAUUCCAUAAACUGUUUAGAUUACCUGACACCUUACUUCUUACAUUCCGAAUAAAAGGUGGUCAGAAAUUUAUCAUGAAGCUGAAAUCAUAAAGGUUCACAUAUCUUAAGGGUCCAGACAUCGCGCUGAGCACAGCAUUUAGGCUGGGUCCAUUCCCACACUCGGCCAAGGGCCUCCGAAGCAAGGCACUACUUCACUGUGAUUCUGAGUAGGGAUGCUGCAGGGACAAAUGUGGCACUGAGGAGGUUUUGGGUUUGCUUGAUAGAUGACGUGAGCGACACACCUAGCAGAGAACUUAAGAGACCACAGCCACCUACAGCCGGGACAGCCCCGAUUUUCUCUUGCCAGAAUUCCGGCCCCAAGGCUCUGAGAUUCCCGCGAGAUCGCGAUUCCUUCCGGAAGUGUGGUCUGAGCGGUGGAGUUUAGCGUCGGAUUCAGACCCCUCCGUGCCGCUCCAGGCCCCCAGGGCUUCCCAGCGCAUUCUAGCUGGAGCCACAGUGACUCCUGGGACGCACCUGCCAGCUGCAGAUUCCAGCUGUGCUAUUUGCCUUCCAGGGACAUUCCGACUCAACCCACCCUAGGUGACCACCACCACGAUCCUGUCUCUGCCCUGGUCAGCCACAAGUGGGGCUGACUCCUGUGGUUACAUUACCUGGACACUUUCGCCAGUGGGGCCAGUAGGAGGUGUCAGCAAGAUAUAAGUGGGCGGAUAGAGAUCACCACUCCCUCACAGUUUCAGGCCCUCUUCAUAAAACAUGAACUUUGAAAUGGUUUCUCCAACUCUCCUACUGAAGUGGCUCAGCGGUAAACAAUCUACCUGCCAAUACAGGAGACUCAAGAGACAUGGAUUCAAUCUAUGGGUUAGGAAGACCCCCAGAAAGGAAAUGGCAACCUGCACCAGUAUUCUCGAUUGA